rnacentral:rRNA from 1 species
UGAGUAAUGCCUAGGAAUCUGCCUGGUAGUGGGGGACAACGUCUCGAAAGGGACGCUAAUACCGCAUACGUCCUACGGGAGAAAGCAGGGGACCUUCGGGCCUUGCGCUAUCAGAUGAGCCUAGGUCGGAUUAGCUAGUUGGUGAGGUAAUGGCUCACCAAGGCGACGAUCCGUAACUGGUCUGAGAGGAUGAUCAGUCACACUGGAACUGAGACACGGUCCAGACUCCUACGGGAGGCAGCAGUGGGGAAUAUUGGACAAUGGGCGAAAGCCUGAUCCAGCCAUGCCGCGUGUGUGAAGAAGGUCUUCGGAUUGUAAAGCACUUUAAGUUGGGAGGAAGGGUUGUAGAUUAAUACUCUGCAAUUUUGACGUUACCGACAGAAUAAGCACCGGCUAACUCUGUGCCAGCAGCCGCGGUAAUACAGAGGGUGCAAGCGUUAAUCGGAAUUACUGGGCGUAAAGCGCGCGUAGGUGGUUUGUUAAGUUGGAUGUGAAAGCCCCGGGCUCAACCUGGGAACUGCAUUCAAAACUGA